GACAAUACUUUGACAA
rnacentral:rRNA from 1 species